GAGUACUAGUCUUCAGCUGAAGAGUUCAGGGACAGCUAGAGGCCCAGUGUUCAAACCCCACAACUGACAACAACAACAAAAAAAUCAUUCCAAUUUGGGGUUGGGGUAGGACUCGGUGGCAGAAGUGGUCCUGGGUUCAAUGUGGAGGCCCUGGCUCCAGCACCAACGAAAGAAAAAAAAAAAAAGGUAGUUGUAGGCGUGUUAGGGAAAAGCCCCUUGGCUGAAGGAGGAAUAGCACCAAGAAAACGGGCUGGGACUGCUCAGUGCUCAUGCGCAGGGCUCGUGAAGCAGCCUCAGGCCUCAGCCUCUGCUCUUGCUGUGGAAGUGAGGUAGGCAAGAUGGCUGUCACCUGGGCACUGCUCCUGCUUGGAAAAGGCCGAGAGGAGUGGGGGACAAUGUGAUACAGAAAAGUGGGCCUGAAGUGGCAGACUGAAGAGCAACACCAGGGAACAUUCUGUGAGUCACUGUGAGCCACUCAAGGCCACUGGUGCAGGCAGGUGUCUGUAGUGACCAAGGCUUUAAAAGGAAACCCAGAGCCAGGAUAAUCUUUCUCUCUGUCCCUCUGUCCCUCUGUCCCCCACCCCCACCCCCACCCCCCC